UGGCUCAGGAUGAACGCUGGCGGCGUGCUUAACACAUGCAAGUCGAACGAUGAAGCCCACUUGUGGGUGGAUUAGUGGCGAACGGGUGAGUAACACGUGAGUAACCUGCCCUUGACUCUGGGAUAAGCCUGGGAAACUGGGUCUAAUACCGGAUAUGACUCCUCAUCGCAUGGUGGGGGGUGGAAAGCUUUUUGUGGUUUUGGAUGGACUCGCGGCCUAUCAGCUUGUUGGUGAGGUAAUGGCUUACCAAGGCGACGACGGGUAGCCGGCCUGAGAGGGUGACCGGCCACACUGGGACUGAGACACGGCCCAGACUCCUACGGGAGGCAGCAGUGGGGAAUAUUGCACAAUGGGCGCAAGCCUGAUGCAGCGACGCCGCGUGAGGGAUGACGGCCUUCGGGUUGUAAACCUCUUUC
rnacentral:rRNA from 1 species